rnacentral:rRNA from 1 species
CAGUAGGGAAUCUUCCACAAUGGGCGAAAGCCUGAUGGAGCAACGCCGCGUGUGUGAUGAAGGCUUUCGGGCCGUAAAGCACUGUUGUAUGGGAAGAACAGCUAGAAUAGGAAAUGAUUUUAGUUUGACGGUACCAUACCAGAAAGGGACGGCUAAAUACGUGCCAG